UGUUCUAAACCCUAGCCUCCCCUUCCUUCCUCUUCUACAUCAGUCAUCGCCGCCAUCACUGAAUAAGGAUUAAGAUAUCGAUCAACCACUACAGGUAUGUUCUUGAUCUUCAAAUUAACUCCAUGUGUAAGAGUAUGGUGACGGUGGUGGUGGUGGUAGCCUUAAGAGUAACGAAUCUGUAUGUUCUUUGACUCUAUCCUUUUUUUGGUAUGAAAACCCUAACUCGCAUCUUUGAACAAUCGAUGCCAAACCCUCAAGGUAAGUUUGAAAUUAAGUAAUCUACGCCACUGCAUGUGAUUUUCAUUUGAUUUUAAAUGUUCAACGCGGAUUUUAUUCGACACCACGAUGUUUGAUUUACUAACAUUCAUCUACUAUCUGUGUUUGUUCAUGGAUUUGGGGUUUUUGAUGAUUCUCGACUGUUACAACUUGCGUAUCUGUUGAUUAUCUUCUUGGAUUGGUUGAGCAGAGCCACAAACUGGGCUAAAUUCGGUGCAACAGCCGGGUUAGGUGUACCAAUGUGAAGGUGGUUCAGCAUGGUGCUUGCUUAGGCCUUGGCUUGGCAGCUUU